rnacentral:rRNA from 1 species
UAGGGAAUUUUCGUCAAUGGGCGCAAGCCUGAACGAGCAAUGCCGCGUGAACGAGGAAGGUCUUCGGAUCGUAAAGUUCUGUUGAAGGGGAAAAANAGCGGAGAGAGGAAAUGGUCUCCGAUUGAUAUUACCCUUCGAGGAAGUCACGGCUAACUACGUGCC